rnacentral:rRNA from 1 species
GACAGAGGGUGCAAACGUUGCUCGGAAUUACUGGGCGUAAAGCGCGUGUAGGCGGACCGGAAAGUCGGGCGUGAAAGCCCUAGGCUCAACCUAGGAACUGCACUCGAAACUUCCGGCCUUGAGUGGUGGAGAGGGAAGUGGAAUUCCUGGUGUAGAGGUGAAAUUCGUAGAUAUCAGGAGGAACACCAGUGGCGAAGGCGGCUUCCUGGACACCAACUGACGCUGAGACGCGAAAGCGUGGGGAGCAAACAGG